CCUACAGGUGGCAGCAGUGGGGAAUAUUGCACAAUGGGGGAAACCCUGAUGCAGCGACGCCGCGUGAGUGAAGAAGUAUUUCGGUAUGUAAAGCUCUAUCAGCAGGGAAGAAAAUGACGGUACCUGAUUAAGAAGCCACGGCUAACUACGUGACAGCAGCCGUGGUAAUACGUAGGGGGCAAGCGUUCUCCGGAUGUACCGGGUGUAAAGGGAGCGGCGACGGCAGCAAAGGUCUGGAGUGAAAUGCCGGGGCUGAACCCCGGAACUGCUUUGGAAACUGUGCAGCUAGAGUGCAGGAGAGGUAAGUGGAAUUCCUAGUGUAGCGGUGAAAUGCGUAGAUAUUAGGAGGAACCCCAGUGGCGAAGGCGGCUUACUGGACUGUAACUGACGUUGAGGCUCGAAAGCGUGGGGAGCAAACAGGAUUAGAUACCCGGGUAGUC
rnacentral:rRNA from 1 species